rnacentral:rRNA from 1 species
UACGUAGGGGGCAAGCGUUGUCCGGAUUUAUUGGGCGUAAAGAGCGUGUAGGCGGCUAGAUAGGUCCGUUGUGAAAACUGGAGGCUCAACCUCCAGCUGUCGAUGGAAACCAUCUGGCUAGAGUCCGGAAGAGGAGAGUGGAAUUCCUGGUGUAGCGGUGGAAUGCGCAGAUAUCAGGAGGAACACCGAUAGCGAAGGCAGCUCGCUGGGACGGUACUGACGCUGAGGUGCGAAAGCGUGGGGAGCGAACAGG